CCGCGAGGUCAAGCGAAUCUCUUAAAGCCAUUCUCAGUUCGGAUUGCAGGCUGCAACUCGCCUGCAUGAAGCCGGAAUCGCUAGUAAUCGCGGAUCAGCACGCCGCGGUGAAUACGUUCCCGGGUCUUGUACACACCGCCCGUCACACCACGAGAGUUUGUAACACCCGAAGUCGGUGAGGUAACCUUUUUGGAGCCAGCCGCCUAAGGUGGGACAGAUGAUUGGGGUGAAGUCGUAACAAGGUAGCCGUAUCGGAAGGUGCGGCUGGAUCACCUCCUUU
rnacentral:ncRNA from 1 species